GAGAACGCUGGCGGCGUGCCUAACACAUGCAAGUCGAGCGGGGUUGAAGCGAGGGGUAACUCGGACUUCUACCUAGCGGCGGACGGGUGAGUAACGCGUGGGCAACCUGCCUCAAGGUUUGGGAUAGCAGCUCGAAAGGGCUGCUAAUACCGGAUAUGCCUGUGGCCUCGCAUGGGGCUAUGAGCAAAGGGGAAACCCGCCUUGAGAUGGGCCCGCGUCCCAUCAGCUAGUUGGUGAGGUGAAGGCUCACCAAGGCGACGACGGGUAGCCGGCCUGAGAGGGUGACCGGCCACACUGGGACUGAGACACGGCCCAGACUCCUACGGGGGGCAGCAGUGGGGGAUCUUGCACAAUGGGCGAAAGCCUGAUGCAGCGACGCCGCGUGAGCGAAGAAGGCCUUCGGGUUGUAAAGCUCUGUCUGGAGGGACGAAGAAAAUGACGGUACCUCCGGAGGAAGCCACGGCUAACUACGUG
rnacentral:rRNA from 1 species